GAACUUACGGCAGCAACUGCAAUUAGGGGUAGUCCAGUGCCAAAUUGUCGCUGCCUUGAAAAUAUUCUGCUUCGUUAUUUCGGGCACUCCACAGAUUCUGUUGCGAAGGCAGCCAUCUUUAGUUCGUCUUUCCUAGAGAGUAGUGUGUGAGCUGCAAAGUUGCUUUACAUCUUUGCCAGCAGCUGAUAAGGGUGGGCCAUAAACCCAAUUUGUGUCCCUUGGGCUGGUGAUUCUGCUGGAAAUCCUGAUCAGCUACUUAGCUUUUCAGUCGCAACUUUGUUCAAACGGAAUUUGGCAGCUAUGAUUUAACUGAAGAUCAUGAGAUGGAAAGAUUAUUAUCUGUGUGCAUCUAAUAUAAUCACAAAGGACCUUAUAAUGUGAAAGAGGAAGAUAGGAGAGUCAGGAUCAGCGAUAAUGUGAAUACAGAAGCAGAGGUCACAAUGGUGUGAGAAGACACAUCUGGCUUUGAAAAUAGAGGGGCAAUGUGCCAAGGAAUGCAGGAAGCCUCUAAAAGCUGAAAAAAGCAAGUAGAUUCUUUCCUGCUGCCUCCAGAAGAAACAAACUCCUGCAGACACCUUGAUUUUUGCCCCAUAAUACCCUUUUUAACCUUUUGACUCAUAGAAAUAUAAGAUAAUAAAUGUGCUUUCUUGUAAGCCACUAAGUUUGUGGUAAGCAGUAAGGCAAAACCCAAUUUUUAAAUAAAUUAUGCUGUGUUUGUAGUAUUAAUACUAUGCACUAUACAAUUAUUUAAAAUAUUAAAUAUUUAUAUAUCUACAAGACAAAUUGCUAAUAGAAAGAAAGCAAAUUCUAAUUUACUUACAGGCAUGUGUACAAAUAUUUAAAUAUAUGAUUCAUUUAAAUACAUACGUAUUUUUAUAUACACACUGUAGUGCUAAUCAUAAUUGCUUUCAGAAAGCAUAUGUGUUGGCAUUUUCUGAAAAUUUUACACUGAGCACAUCAUAUGCAAUUGUAUGCGAUAAAAGAUAAGUAACAAAUAGUCAUGUGAUGACUUAUUACUAAUAAUAGUUUGAAAGAUCUACACUGAUUUUAUUUCAGAGUAGUACACAAUAGCAUACGAA
rnacentral:lncRNA from 1 species